rnacentral:snRNA from 1 species
GUACUUAGCUAGCAUGUUGGAUUCCAUAGGCACAACAAAGGUGGUUUUCCCAGGGUGCAGUUUGUCCAUCGCAUUUUAGGCUUGCCGGCUCUGUUGAUUUCACCAAAUGUGGGAAACUUCACUGCAUAAUUUGUGGUAUUAUGCACUUUCAUGCAGU